rnacentral:rRNA from 1 species
GACGAAGGGGGCUAGCGUUGUUCGGAAUUACUGGGCGUAAAGCGCACGUAGGCGGAUCGUUAAGUUGGGGGUGAAAUCCUGGAGCUCAACUCCAGAACUGCCUUCAAUACUGGCGAUCUAGAGUCCGGAAGAGGUGAGUGGAACUCCUAGUGUAGAGGUGGAAUUCGUAGAUAUUAGGAAGAACACCAGUGGCGAAGGCGGCUCACUGGUCCGGUACUGACGCUGAGGUGCGAAAGCGUGGGGAGCAAACAGG